AACGAACGCUGGCGGCAGGCCUAACACAUGCAAGUCGAGCGAGAAGCUACCUUCGGGUGGUGGGCAGCGGCGGACGGGUGAGUAACGCGUAGGAAUUUACCUCGGAGUGGGGGACAACCACUGGAAACGGUGGCUAAUACCGCAUACACCCAUCUGACAUGAGGUCGGAUGGGGAAAGAUUUAUUGCUCUGGGAUGAUCCUGCGUCGGAUUAGCUUGUUGGUGAGGUAACGGCUCACCAAGGCUGCGAUCCGUAGCUGGUUUGAGAGGAUGAUCAGCCACACUGGGACUGAGACACGGCCCAGACUCCUACGGGAGGCAGCAGUGGGGAAUAUUGCACAAUGGGCGCAAGCCUGAUGCAGCCAUGCCGCGUGAGUGAAGAAGGCCUUCGG
rnacentral:rRNA from 1 species